rnacentral:rRNA from 1 species
UGCGUAGGCGGCUUUUUAAGUUUGGUGUGAAAUCUCCCGGCUCAACCGGGAGGGUGCGCCGAAUACUGAGAGGCUAGAGUGUCGGAGAGGUAAGUGGAAUUCCUGGUGUAGCGGUGAAAUGCGUAGAUAUCAGGAGGAACACCGGUGGUGUAAACGGCUUACUGGACGAUAACUGACGCUGAUGCACGAAAGCGUGGGUAGCAAACAGGAUUAGAUACCCUGGUAGUCCACGCCCUAAACGAUGCAUAUUUGGUGUGGGCCAUUCAUUUGGUCUGUGCCGGAGCUAACGCGUUAAAUAUGCCGCCUGGGGAGUACAGUCGCAAGGCUGAA